CCCUAGCCUGGGAACACCCAUAUGCUGCAGGUGCUGCCCUAAAAAGCCGAAAAAAACCAAAAACCAAACAAACAAAAAAACAAAACUGAAAAAACAGCGUAUCUCUUGAUUGGAAUGUUUAGAAGGUGCUCCAGCAGGUAGAGGAAACCAGAGAUUCUUUUUCUCCCCCCACCCCCUUCCUCUUAUAUCUGGAAUCACUACCAAUAACUGCACCCACCAGGGAGGGGCGCUGUCCCCUUCGCAGAUCCUGGAAGGAGAGUCUGCCCUGGCAGUGAGCUGACGCGCCGCCUUGGUGCAGCCUGCUGAGACCCAGAGCUGAGGUGAGCCAGGUGCAUCUGGGUACCUGCCCCCCCCCCCACCUAUUCGGGGAGCCAAGGAGCCCAGACAUCCUCAGGGGGAGACUCGCUCUCACGCUCUGUUUUCUCCAAACUGCCGUGGCCGCUUCCACGGUCACACCUGCCUCCAUCCUCAUCGUCCACGCCGCGGCUUGGAGAUGCGCACGCGCAGCAAUCACUCGGUUGGUGCUCCGCGAAGUCAGACGGGAUGUGGUCCCUGGGAACGCGAGCCGGGGGAACAGCUGCCGCGGGGUUGACAUGCUGGCGAAGUCAGUGGUUGCGGUCACCCGUUCGGGGGUGUGAUUAUCUCGGCCGGUGGGGCGUUGACAGGGAGAGGCAGGCGCUGGCUGCCGGCAGGAGGGAAGUCAUGGGUCGUGUUUUCCAAAGGGAGGUGAGGCAGCCGCGGGGAAGCUCUGCGAGCCCGACUGUUUGGAAGAGCGGGACCUCUUCAGCACCACACCCAGUCCUGGCGGCCCCUGGGGUCUGUUGGGGUGGCCUGGGCCCUGCAGACGCUGUGUCCUCAGAGGUGGAAAGCCCUCACGAGCAAAGCAUCAGUGAGGUCUGUGCAGUCCUACAGGACAGCUCUUUUUUUUUUUUUUAAGUUCAUGUGUAGAGGAAGGAACCUCACAAGGAGACUCCGAAAUCAGAAAGGAAAAAAAAUGAAACUGUUGUUACAUUUGACAAGGAAAAAUCCAAGCAAGAUUGUAUCAUAGCAAUCAUCCUUCACAGUUACACAGCAAAUUAUUAGUGAGGCAAAAUGUUUCUUCUUUUCUUUUUACGACUGUACCUGCAACUUAGGGAAGGUUCCGGGCCAGGCGUAGAAUUGGAGCUGCAGCUGUAGGUCUACACCACAGCCACAGCAACGUGGCAUCUGAGCCGCAUCUGCAACCCACACCAUAGCUUGUGGCAACGCCGGACCCUUCACCCCCUGAGUGAGGCCAGGGAUCAAACCCGCAUCCUCAUGGAUACCAGUCGGGUUCUUAACCUGCGGAGCCACAAUGGGAACUCCCUGCCUCUUUAGGUUUUUGUGUGACUUCUGCUCAGCGACAUUAAGCACAUGGCUUGGCCGCCUUUUCCCCUGCAGAUCCAGAGAGGAAACAUCGGGGCUGUACCCGUGGACUCAAGGACUCAGCUCUGCCCUGCGGUGGGCACGCAGAUGGACAUAGCCUCGACGGGUGGACGUGGUUGUGGGCGCGUGACAUGAGGAGCCAGAGACACGCAGAAUGAGGUUUCUCCUGAGCAGGAAGCGUGCCCGUGAGCAACCAGCUGAGAAGUCGACCCAUCACAUGUGAAAAUGAGAAAGUCCCGUCGAGGCCAGACCCCGCUGUCCUUGGAAAGGUGUUGAGUUGAUUUCUUCCAAGGGGUGAGGGAGCAAUUCAGGUUCCCUGCCCAGCGGGUGCUCUGCCUCCCUAGUUCCGGAGGCUGGACUUUCAAGACCUGCUGAGAGCCAUCUUCCUGGUUCAUCAAUGGACGUUCUCUCCAUCAGGACAGAGACAAGACAGUUCCUUCUUACCCGUGAGAGAUACAUGUAUUGUCCAUGACUCCGCAGGAAAUUGAUUCCC